rnacentral:lncRNA from 10 species
AUUCCCUUUCGUAGAGCAGUUUUGAAACACUCUUUCUGUAGUAUCUCUAAGUGGACAUUUCGAGCGAUGUCAGGCCUAUGUUGAAAAAGGAAAUAACUUCCCAUAAAAAGUAGACAGAAGCAUUCUCAGAAACUUAUUUGUGAUGGGUGUCCUCAACUAACAGAGUUGAACGUUUCUUUUGAUACAACAGUUUAGAAACACUCUUUUUGUAGUAUCUGCAAGCGGAUAUUUCGAUAACUUUGAAGAUUUCGUUGGAAACGGGAAUAUCUUCAUAUACAAUCUAGACAGAGG